rnacentral:ncRNA from 1 species
GGAAAUACGAUGAUAUGGAGAGUAACCGUAUGCCUUACGCAAAAGAGAGCGGCCGUCGCGGCUGGAAGCGGCUGUGCGUUUAAGAUAUGGCGAAGAACACCAUGGAGUUUCCGGUGCGAAAGCGUAAAGCCGGUAGUAUCGGGCGCGGGCCGGCGUUAUGGGCGAGAGUGGAGAAUUUAUUUUCUCAAAGUGGGUGGUACCGCGGAUUUUUUGAAACUUCGUCCCUUGU